GACGUAGGGCGCGAGCGUUGUCCGGAUUUAUUGGGCGUAAAGAGCUCGUAGGCGGCUUGUCGCGUCGACUGUGAAAUCCCGCGGCUCAACUGCGGGUCUGCAGUCGAUACGGGCAGGCUAGAGUCCGGUAGGGGAACACGGAAUACCCGGUGUAGCGGUGAAAUGCUUAGAUAUCGGGUGGAACACCAGUGGCGAAGGCGGUGUUCUGGGCCGGAACUGACGCUGAGGAGCGAAAGCGUGGGUAGCAAACAGG
rnacentral:rRNA from 1 species